AUUGAACGCUGGCGGCAUGCUUUACACAUGCAAGUCGGACGGCAGCACAGAGAAGCUUGCUUCUUGGGUGGCGAGUGGCGAACGGGUGAGUAACAUAUCGGAACGUACCGAGCAGUGGGGGAUAACUAAUCGAAAGAUUAGCUAAUACCGCAUAUCUUCUGAGGAAGAAAGCAGGGGACCAUUUGGCCUUGCGCUGUUUGAGCGGCCGAUAUCUGAUUAGCUAGUUGGUGGGGUAAAGGCCUACCAAGGCGACGAUCAGUAGCGGGUCUGAGAGGAUGAUCCGCCACACUGGGACUGAGACACGGCCCAGACUCCUACGGGAGGCAGCAGUGGGGAAUUUUGGACAAUGGGCGAAAGCCUGAUCCAGCCAUGCCGCGUGUCUGAAGAAGGCCUUCGGGUUGUAAAGGACUUUUGUCAGGGAAGAAAAGGGCGGGGUUAAUACCCCUGUCUGAUGACGGUACCUGAAGAAUAAGCACCGGCUAACUACGUGCCAGCAGCCGCGGUAAUACGUAGGGUGCGAGCGUUAAUCGGAAUUACUGGGCGUAAAGCGGGCGCAGACGGUUACUUAAGCAGGAUGUGAAAUCCCCGGGCUCAACCUGGGAACUGCGUUCUGAACUGGGUGACUAGAGUGUGUCAGAGGGAGGUAGAAUUCCACGUGUAGCAGUGAAAUGCGUAGAGAUGUGGAGGAAUACCGAUGGCGAAGGCAGCCUCCUGGGAUAACACUGACGCUCAUGCCCGAAAGCGUGGGUAGCAAACAGG
rnacentral:rRNA from 1 species